AUUGAACGCUGGCGGCAUGCUUUACACAUGCAAGUCGAACGGCAGCACGGGUGCUUGCACCUGGUGGCGAGUGGCGAACGGGUGAGUAAUGCAUCGGAACGUGCCCAUGAGUGGGGGAUAGCCCGGCGAAAGCCGGAUUAAUACCGCAUACGCCCUUAGGGGGAAAGCGGGGGAUCUUCGGACCUCGCGCUAUUGGAGCGGCCGAUGUCGGAUUAGCUAGUAGGUGAGGUAACGGCUCACCUAGGCUACGAUCGUUAGGGGGCCUGAGAGGGUUAUCCCCCACACUGGUACUGAGACACGGACCAGACUCCUACGGGAGGCAGCAGUGAGGAAUAUUGCGCAAUGGAGGCAACUCUGACGCAGCCAUGCCGCGUGCAGGAAGAAGGCGCUACGCGUCGUAAACUGCUUUUACCAGGGAAGAACCCCCAGACGUGUCUGGGGUUGACGGUACCUGAGGAAUAAGCACCGGCUAACUUCGUGCCAGCAGCCGCGGUAAA
rnacentral:rRNA from 1 species